rnacentral:rRNA from 1 species
CCUACGGGAGGCAGCAGUGGGGGAUAUUGCACAAUGGGGGAAACCCUGAUGCAGCGACGCCGCGUGAGGGAAGACGGACUUCGGGUUGUAAACCUCUGUCGCAGGGGACGAAGGAGAUGACGGUACCCUGUGAGGAAGCCACGGCAAACUACGUGCCAGCAGCCGCGGUACUACGUGGGUGGCGGGCGUUGCCCGGAAUUACGGGGGGUAAGGGGAGAGAAGGCGGGGUAUUAAGUUGAAUGUAAAAACUACCGGCUUAACCGAUAGAAGCGUUUAAAACUGAUAUUCUUGAGUGAAGUAGAGGCAGGCGGAAUUCCUAGUGUAGCGGUGAAAUGCGUAGAUAUUAGGAGGAACACCAGUGGCGAAGGCGGCCUGCUGGGCUUUAACUGACGCUGAGGCUCGAAAGCGUGGGUAGCAAACAGGAUUAGAUACCCCAGUAGUC